ACCACAGUCAGUCAUGAGUCGCCCUUGGGUUGAGAUGUGGACAUGGACACUGUUUGUCUGCCUGAGUUGGAUAUGUGUGAAUCAAGCAGCGGCAAGGCCGUAAGUUUACUCAAAAUACUUUCAAAUUAAUCAGAUUCAAAUAUUUGUUGCAGCAAGCAGAGUUAAAAGACUUUUUUUUAUUUGCUCCAGUAUAAGAAACUCUGUCAAGAACUUGACCGUACUUAAAUGUUUUUCUCUCUGUGUGUAGGCAGUACAUGGUGGCCAUUCCUGCGAUCAUCGAAGCAGGAACUGAAACACCUCUCUGUGCAAGUCUCUUGAAGCCAGAUGAGACUCUGGUCAUGACCGUUACUUUAAGGUUCGGAGAUCAAAAUAUGACCCUGAUGGAGGAGACGUCCAGCCAGGCAUUUCACACCUGCAUUAAAUUUCAGGUCUGCUGAGUGAUUUUGCAGAUUUCCUCAAAAUUCUUGGAAAACUUGUAAAAGUGGUCAUUAAUUUAGCCUCCAAAUAAUAAAUCAUAGUUCUCUACAUCAAUAAUCAUAAA
rnacentral:lncRNA from 1 species